rnacentral:rRNA from 1 species
GACGAACGCUGGCGGCGUGCUUAACACAUGCAAGUCGAACGUGAUUUUUGUGGAAAUUCUUUCGGGAAUGGAAAUGAAAUGAAAGUGGCGAACGGGUGAGUAACACGUGAGCAACCUACCUUACACAGGGGGAUAGCCGUUGGAAACGACGGUUAAUACCGCAUGAGACCACAGAAUCGCAUGAUAUAGGGGUCAAAGAUUUAUCGGUGUAAGAAGGGCUCGCGUCUGAUUAGCUAGUUGGAAGGGUAAAGGCCUACCAAGGCGACGAUCAGUAGCCGGUCUGAGAGGAUGAACGGCCACAUUGGAACUGAGACACGGUCCAAACUCCUACGGGAGGCAGCAGUGGGGAAUAUUGCACAAUGGGGGGAACCCUGAUGCAGCGACGCCGCGUGAGCGAAGAAGGUUUUCGAAUCGUAAAGCUCUGUCCUAUGAGAAGAUAAUGACGGUAUCAUAGGAGGAAGCCCCGGCUAAAUACGUGCCAGCAGCCGCGGUAAUACGUAUGGGGCGAGCGUUGUCCGGAAUUAUUGGGCGUAAAGGGUACGUAGGCGGUUUUUUAAGUCAGGUGUGAAAGCGUGAGGCUUAACCUCAUUAAGCACUUGAAACUGGAAGACUUGAGUGAAGGAGAGGAAAGUGGAAUUCCUAGUGUAGCGGUGAAAUGCGUAGAUAUUAGGAGGAAUACCGGUGGCGAAGGCGACUUUCUGGACUUUUACUGACGCUCAGGUACGAAAGCGUGGGGAGCAAACAGG